rnacentral:rRNA from 1 species
GAUGAACGCUGACAGAAUGCUUAACACAUGCAAGUCAACUGUGGCGGACGGGUGAGUAACGCGUAAAGAACUUGCCUCACAGAUAGGGACAACAUUUGGAAACGAAUGCUAAUACCUGAUACUGUGAGAGAGCUUUGCGUCCCAUUAGCUAGUUGGAGAGGUAACGGCUCACCAUGGCGAUGAUGGGUAGCCGGCCUGGGAGGGUGAUCGGCCACAAGGGGACUGGGGCACGGACCUUACUCCUGCGGGGAGCAGCAGUGGAGAAUAGUGGACAAUGGACCAAAGUCUGAUCCAGCAAUUCUGUGUGCAAGAUGAAGUUUUCGGAAUGUAAAGUGCUUUCAGUUGUGAAUCGGUACCGACAGAAGAAGUGACGGCUAAAUACGUGCCAGCAGCCGCGGUAAUAC